CAACCCUCAAGCCCAGCUUGGUGUUGGGGCCCUACAGUUAUGUAGGCCCUGAAAGACAGUGGCGGGCUCGCUAUAACUCCGAGCGUAGUACAUACCUCGCUUAGGGCGUUUUAGUGGGAUCCGGCCUAUUUUUUAAUAUUCUAAU
rnacentral:misc_RNA from 1 species